UGGGGAAUAUUGGACAAUGGGGGGAACCCUGAUCCAGCCAUGCCGCGUGUGUGAAGAAGGUCUUCGGAUUGUAAAGCACUUUAAGUUGGGAGGAAGGGCAGUAAGCGAAUACCUUGCUGUUUUGACGUUACCGACAGAAUAAGCACCGGCUAACUCUGUGCCAGCAGCCGCGGUAAUACAGAGGGUGCAAGCGUUAAUCGUAAUUACUGGGCGUAAAGCGCGCGUAGGUGGUUCGUUAAGUUGAAUGUGAAAGCCCCGGGCUCAACCUGGGAACUGCAUCCAAAACUGGCGAGCUAGAGUAGGGCAGAGGGUGGUGGAAUUUCCUGUGUAGCGGUGAAAUACGUAGAUAUAGGAAGGAACACCAGUGGCGAAGGCAACCACCUGGGCUCAUACUGACACUGAGGUGCGAAAGCGUGGGGAGCAAACAGG
rnacentral:rRNA from 1 species